rnacentral:rRNA from 1 species
UACGGAGGGUGCAAGCGUUAUUCGGAAUUACUGGGCGUAAGGCGCACGCAGGUGGCUGAGUCAGUCGCUUGUGAAAGCCCUGGGCUUAACCUGGGAAUUGCAGUCGAUACUACUCAGCUAGAGUAUGGGAGAGGGCAGUGGAAUUCCCGGUGUAGCGGUGAAAUGCGUAGAUAUCGGGAGGAACAUCAGUGGCGAAGGCGGCUGCCUGGCCCACUACUGACACUCAGGUGCGACAGCGUGGGGAGCAAACAGG